rnacentral:rRNA from 1 species
ACUCCUACGGGAGGCAGCAGUGGGGAAUAUUGGACAAUGGGCGCAAGCCUGAUCCAGCCAUGCCGCGUGAGUGAUGAAGGCCCUAGGGUUGUAAAGCUCUUUCACCGGUGAAGAUAAUGACGGUAACCGGAGAAGAAGCCCCGGCUAACUUCGUGCCAGCAGCCGCGGUAAUACGAAGGGGGCUAGCGUUGUUCGGAUUUACUGGGCGUAAAGCGCACGUAGGCGGACUAUUAAGUCAGGGGUGAAAUCCCGGGGCUCAACCCCGGAACUGCCUUUGAUACUGGUAGUCUUGAGUUCGAGAGAGGUGAGUGGAAUUCCGAGUGUAGAGGUGAAAUUCGUAGAUAUUCGGAGGAACACCAGUGGCGAAGGCGGCUCACUGGCUCGAUACUGACGCUGAGGUGCGAAAGCGUGGGGAGCAAACAGGAUUAGAAACCCUGGUAGUCCCAUGA